rnacentral:rRNA from 1 species
ACUCCUACGGGAGGCAGCAGUGGGGAAUAUUGCACAAUGGGCGCAAGCCUGAUGCAGCCAUGCCACGUGUAUGAAGAAGGCCAUUCGGGCUUGGUUAAAGAUACUUUCAGCAGUGAGGAAGGUGGGUAUGUUAAUAGCAUAUUCAUUUGACGUUAGCUGCAGAAGAAGCACCGGCUAACUCCGUGCCAGCAGCCGCGGUAAUACGGAGGGUGCGAGCGUUAAUCGGAAUUACUGGGCGUAAAGCGCAUGCAGGUGGUUUGUUAAGUCAGAUGUGAAAGCCCGGGGCUCAACCUCGGAAUUGCAUUUGAAACUGGCAAACUAGAGUACUGUAGAGGGGGGUAGAAUUUCAGGUGUAGCGGUGAAAUGCGUAGAGAUCUGAAGGAAUACCGGUGGCGAAGGCGGCCCCCUGGACAGAUACUGACACUCAGAUGCGAAAGCGUGGGGAGCAAACAGGAUUAGAUACCCUGGUAGCUACGAGU